GACGAACGCUGGCGGCGUGCCUAAUACAUGCAAGUAGAACGCUGAAGGGAGAGCUUGCUCUUCUGGAUGAGUUGCGAACGGGUGAGUAACGCGUAGGUAACCUGCCUGGUAGCGGGGGAUAACUAUUGGAAACGAUAGCUAAUACCGCAUAACAUUGACUAUUGCAUGAUAGUUAAUUGAAAGGUGCAAAUGCACCACUACCAGAUGGACCUGCGUUGUAUUAGCUAGUUGGUGGGGUAACGGCUCACCAAGGCGACGAUACAUAGCCGACCUGAGAGGGUGAUCGGCCACACUGGGACUGAGACACGGCCCAGACUCCUACGGGAGGCAGCAGUAGGGAAUCUUCGGCAAUGGACGGAAGUCUGACCGAGCAACGCCGCGUGAGUGAAGAAGGUUUUCGGAUCGUAAAGCUCUGUUGUAAGAGAAGAACG
rnacentral:rRNA from 1 species